rnacentral:rRNA from 1 species
CCUACGGGAGGCAGCAGUGAGGAAUAUUGGUCAAUGGGCGGAAGCCUGAACCAGCCAAGUCGCGUGAGGGAUUAAGGCCCUGCGGGUCGUAAACCUCUUUUGCCGGGGAGCAGUGGUCCGGACGCGUCCGGACCGGGAGAGUACCCGGAGAAAAAGCAUCGGCUAACUCCGUGCCAGCAGCCGCGGUAAUACGGAGGAUGCGAGCGUUAUCCGGAUUUAUUGGGUUUAAAGGGUGCGUAGGCGGGCAUUUAAGCCGGCGGUCAAAUGUCGGGGCUCAACCCCGGCCUGCCGUUGAAACUGAUGUUCUUGAGUGGGCGAGAAGUAUGCGGAAUGCGUGGUGUAGCGGUGAAAUGCAUAGAUAUCACGCAGAACUCCGAUUGCGAAGGCAGCAUACCGGCGCCCAACUGACGCCGAAGCACGAAAGCGUGGGUAUCGAACAGGAUUAGAUACCCUGGUAGUC